UACGUAGGGUGCAAGCGUUGUCCGGAAUUAUUGGGCGUAAAGGGCGCGUAGGUGGUUUGAUAAGGGUGUGGUGAAAGCCCGGGGCUCAACUCCGGGUCGGCCGUGCGAACUGGGGGACUGGAGCUUGUCAGAGGCAGGCGGAAUUCCGGGUGUAGCGGUGGAAUGCGUAGAGAUCCGGAAGAACACCGGUGGCGAAGGCGGCCUGCUGGGACAGUGCUGACGCUGAGGCGCGACAGCGUGGGGAGCAAACAGG
rnacentral:rRNA from 1 species